UACGAAGGGGGCUAGCGUUGCUCGGACUCACUGGGCGUGAAGGGCGCGUAGGCGGACUCUUAAGUCGGGGGUGAAAGCCCAGGGCUCAACCUUGGAAUUGCCUUCGAUACUGAGAGUCUUGAGUUCGGAAGAGGUUGGUGGAACUGCGAGUGUAGAGGUGAAAUUCGUAGAUAUUCGCAAGAACACCAGUGGCGAAGGCGGCCAACUGGUCCGAUACUGACGCUGAGGCGCGAAAGCGUGGGGAGCAAAC
rnacentral:rRNA from 1 species